GGAGCUCAGAAGCAGCUUAACUGGAUGGCUCUGACUCAGCGUCUCUCAUGAGGUGGUCGAGGUGGAGGCUGGGGCUGCAGUCAUCCGAAGAUUUGACUGGUGCAGGAAGAUCUGCUUCCAAGGUGACUCAUAUGUGUGGCUGUUGGCAGGAGGCUUCAGUCCUUGCCAUGUGAGCCUCUCUUCACAUCAUAACUGGCUUCUUCAAGAAUGAAUGAUCCAAGAGAAAGAAAGAAAGAGAAGCUGCAGUGUCUUUUAUAACCUAACCUUGGAAGUGACAUACCAUCAUUCCUGCAUAUUCUAUUGGUUACACAGACCAACCCCAGUACAGCGUGGGAGCAGACUACACAGUUUGAGAAGAUGGCGGCCUGAACCGGAGUCCUUCUUCCCCUCCUCCCUCUCCGCUGCUGCAAUGCCCAGGCCCCCCGCAACGUUCCUCGUCUGUAAUGGUGCCAGAGGCUUUAAAUCUUGCAGAAGCCACAUCUGCUGCCUGCAGCAGAGAUGGGGUUUCACCAUAUUGGCCAGGCUGGUCUUGAACUCAAGAUGAUUCGCCCAACACAGCCUCUCAAAGUGCUGGGAUUACAGUCUCCGGUAUGUCAUUAUCAGCAGUGUGAAAAUGGACUCACUCCCACCCUGUCUGGAUCUGGACAAGAGCCCACCACCCCGUUGGCAGUAGUCAGGCAGCUCUGCUUCUAAGAACCUGCAGCUUUUGGAAGAAAGGCACCCUGUGGUUUCAGAAGCCCAAGAGUCCCUGCAGCUCAGCACCCCCAGCCUGGUGCUUGGCAGAUGACUGCCUCCUCACUUAGCAGAGGGAGCAGAAAACUGUGUAUUCUUCAGAACAUCAUGAUAACCUGGCACUCAUGGGUCUAUGGAGAGAAUUCAGGGGGUCUGGGAGCUUGGAUGGAAUAAAUUUGCAUCUUUAUUUUCAGGAAAGUUUUACUGAAGUUUAGCAUUUUCUUUCAUUAUAAAUGGAAUCAGUAUAACCCAAUAGUAUGAGCAGUUACUUCUCCGCAACAUCAAAGUGGCUGCAGAUAUCUCAAAAUAGUAUUUACAUUUAUCAUAACUUAGAAAUUUGGGUGGUAAUUAAACCAGCAACUAUUCUUUGUUUAAUGCAUUAAGAAAGAAGUAUGUAUACUAUCAUAUCUCAAUUAAAAAUAUUUUAAGAACU
rnacentral:lncRNA from 1 species